rnacentral:rRNA from 1 species
CAGUAGCCGCGGUAAUACGUAGGGGGCAAGCGUUAUCCGGAGUUACUGGGUGUGAAGGGAGCGUAGACGGUUAAACAAGUUUGAAGUGAAAUGCCGGGGCUCAACCCCGGAGCUGCUUUGGGAACUGUAGAACUGGAGUGUCGGAGGGGUAAGCGGAAUUCCCAGUGUAGCGGUGAAAUGCGUAGAUAUUGGGAGGAACACCGGCGGCGAAGGCGGCUUUUUGGCCUGUAACUGACACUGAGGCGCGAAAGCGUGGGGAGCAAACAGGAUUAGAUACCCGCGUAGUCCCUGUCUCUUAUAC